rnacentral:misc_RNA from 1 species
GAAAAAGAGGUCUCGGAGACUCCGUCGCAAGCGCAGAAAAAUGCGGGCUCGCUCCAAAUAAUCGCCCAAGCGGCUUCUAGGCUUGCAAAGUAGGGGUGUCACUUCAAGCGGUGUAUUGUGCCCUACUCCUCGACGUCAAGAGGGUCAUGCCGACUCAGUCGCGUCGCCUCGCACUGCCCGCCUCAGACCCGGGGAGUGGUGUCUCGAUUAGGUCAGGACGUCGAGGCAGUUAUGGAGCAUUGUAACAAUAGUUCAUGCUUGUCACUUGUAUUGCAAUGAUCUAUUUGCG